GGAUUGACGGAGGAAUGUACUCUGUCGUAUAUAGAAACAAUCCGGCAGCGGUACCAAGGGAAUUGGAUUUGUGGAUUGUGUGCGGAGGCUAUCAAGGACGAGGUGAUUCGAUGUGAGAGGUUGAUUACUGCGGAAGAGGCAUUGAAUCGUCAUCUCAAUUUCUGUAAGAACUUCAGUUCGUCUCGUCCGCCAUUGAAUCCGACUGUUCAUUUAAUCGAUGCGAUGAGGCAGAUUUUGAGGCGGAGUUUUGAAUCUCCGAAAUUGAUUCGGUCGAUGUCUAGUAGUCCGGUGGAGAGUAGCGGAGAGAUGAAGCACACGGUGAUUGUUCGAUCGGAAAGUUGUAUUCCUGCAA
rnacentral:misc_RNA from 1 species